rnacentral:lncRNA from 1 species
CGGCUUAGAAACGAAUUCAAAUCCAUCUAUAAACCUGAUUUUCAAGUUUAUAAAUCAGAUUUAUGGACGGAUUUGGAUCCGUUUCUUAGCCGAUGGAAACAUAUAACGGAAGAAGUUGGAACUUCUUAUUCAUAAAACUUAUUUAUUUAUAAUAUACUCAUAAAUAUAUUGUGAUCGCUUGUUUUAGACAUACUUUAAAGAUGUUUAGACUAACAUCUUUAUUACAACUAAAAAUUUGUUUAAUUUCACGUACAACUAGAGAUGGCAAUCGGGUCGGGUCGGAUAUAAACGGGUCGGGUCAGAUGUUAAACGGGUCAGAAAAGUAUAAACCUAAACCCAACUUGUUUAUUAAACAGGUUAGAAAAAUUACAACCUGAAUCCGACCUGUUUAUUAAACAGAUAACCCGAUCCGACCCGUGUUUAAUAAACAGGUCGACUAAAUAGGUCGGGUUUGCUGUUCUGACCCGUUUAACCAAAUGGAGAGACAGAGAUGGGAGGGUGGCUCCGUGGCUGGGGUGGGGUUGCUUCCGGGAGAGAGAGAGAGAGAGAGAGAGAGAGAGAGAGGUAGGG